CCCGUAGGGCGCAAGCGUUGUCCGGAAUUAUUGGGCGUACAGAGCUCGUAGGCGGCCUGUUGCGUCCGCUGUGAAAGCCCGGGGCUUAACCCCGGGUCGGCAGUGGAUACGGGCAGGCUAGAGGUAGAUAGGGGAGAAUGGAAUUCCCGGUGUAGCGGUGAAAUGCGCAGAUAUCGGGAGGAACACCGGUGGCGAAGGCGGUUCUCUGGGCCUUACCUGACGCUGAGGAGCGAAAGCGUGGGGAGCGAACAGG
rnacentral:rRNA from 1 species